UUUUCCGGUUGAUCCUGCCGGACCCUACUGCUAUCGGGGUGGGACUAAGACAUGCAAGUCGUGCGUCUCUAAGCCAUGGUAGAGACGCGGCGUACGGCUCAGUAACACGUGGCUAACCUACCCUUAGGACGGAGGCAACCCCGGGAAACUGGGGCUAAUACCCGAUAGGUGAGGAGGCCUGGAAUGGUUCUUCGCUGAAAAGGCGUUGGAACCAUGCUUUUCAACGUCGCCUAAGGAUGGGGCCGCGCCCGAUCAGGUUGUUGGUGGGGUAACGGCUCACCAAGCCUAUAACCGGUACGGGCCGCGAGAGCGGGAGCCCGGAGAUGGGCACUGAGACAAGGGCCCAGGCCCUACGGGGCGCAGCAGUCGCGAAAACUCCGCAAUGCGCGAAAGCGUGACGGGGCUACCCCGAGUGCCGUCCGCUGAGGAUGGCUUUUCCCCGGUGUAAUGAGCCGGGGGAAUAAGGAGAGGGCAAGUCUGGUGUCAGCCGCCGCGGUAAUACCAGCUCUCCGAGUAGUAGGGAUGAUUAUUGGGCUUAAAGCGUCCGUAGCCGGCUUAGCAAGUCUCCUGUUAAAUUCAGCGACCUAAUCGUUGAGCCGCGGGAGAUACUACUAGGCUAGGAGGCGGGAGAGGCCGACGGUAUUCCCGGGGUAGGGGUGAAAUCCUAUAAUCCCGGGAGGACCACCAGUGGCGAAGGCUGUCGGCUAGAACGCGCUCGACGGUGAGGGACGAAAGCUGGGGGAGCGAACCGGAUUAGAUACCCGGGUAGUCCCAGCUGUAAACGAUGCGGGCUAGGUGUUGAGGUGGCUACGAGCCACUUCAGUGCCGCAGGGAAGCCAUUAAGCCCGCCGCCUGGGGAGUACGGCCGCAAGGCUGAAACUUAAAGGAAUUGGCGGGGGAGCACCACAAGGCGUGAAGCUUGCGGUUCAAUUGGAGUAACGCCGGGA
rnacentral:rRNA from 1 species